rnacentral:rRNA from 1 species
UUGGAGGGCAAGUCUGGUGCCAGCAGCCGCGGUAAUUCCAGCUCCAAUAGCGUAUAUUAAAGUUGUUGCAGUUAAAAAGCUCGUAGUUGAAUUUCGGGGUCAGUAAGUUGGUCGUGCCACUGGUAUGCACUGGCUUUACUGAUUCCUCCUUCUUGUAGAACCUUAAUGCCAUUAACUUGGUGUUAUGGGGAAACAGGACUGUUACUUUGAAAAAAUUAGAGUGUUUAAAGCAAGCUAACGCUUGAAUACAUUAGCAUGGAAUAAUGAAAUAGGACGAUCGAUCCUAUUUUGUUGGUUUCUAGGAUUGACGUAAUGAUUAAUAGGGAUAGUUGGGGGCAUUAGUAUUCAAUUGUCAGAGGCGAAAUUCUUGGAUUUAUUGAAGACUAACUACUGCGAAAGCAUUUGCCAAGGAUGUUUUCAUUAAUCAAGAACGAAAGUUAGGGGAUCGAAGACGAUCAGAUACCGUCGUAGUCUUAACCAUAAAUUAUGCCGACUAGGGAUCGGAUGAUGUUAAUUUUUUAAUGACUCAUUCGGCGCCUUACGGGAAAC